CUCAAAAUACUAAAGCUACUGGUAGAAACAAUUGCUCUUCUCCUUGCUGUAAACAUGAAAGUGAGAAGCAGCAAAGAACGAUCAACAAAUUAACACCCUUUUCAUAUUUUUUGUGACAGCUACCUGGAACGGGCAGGAAAGAAAAAUGCAGAUAAGAAAAUUAAAACCACAGACUCCUGGGCAGCGAACAAGAGCCUUCUGAUCCUAAUUCGAUCUGGAGUUAAGAAUGAAGGGGAUUUCUGUAGCAGUUUCUUUUGCAUAGCAGAGCUCCGACUUUUCCAGCAACAGCGUGUCCCUGGAAGCUACACAAAGUCCUCUUUGAUUGCCUGUGAUCAAAGCCACGAAGGCUCUCCUGCAACAUCUUAGCUUCAGAAAGCCAGGAAAAUCAGAAUGCUGAGAGUAUAUUAAUAAUUCCUAAACAUAUUUUUAAGGUUCUUCAGGCCUGUCUCAGAGCUAUGGAGGAUGCAGCAAAAGGGAUGCCUUUGAUCUGCUGUCUCUGGAUGCACAAGGAGCUCAGAGAAACAACCAGGACACAGAACAAAACAAAGCAUGGAGCUCUAAUUUAGGGGUUUCAGCUAAGCGAGUCACUCAGCACCAGCACUGCACAGGAGGUAGUUCUUACAGCUUCCUUUAUGAGAAAGAUUUGUUCUUCUGUUUAUAGGGUAUCAGAGCCAGGAGGGUGGCUGACUCUGAUGAUAGAACAAGAGCCAAAUAUGCUCCUGAUGCUCCAGUAGAGUGGUCUUCAGGUGAUCGAGAUUCCGAGCUCCCAAACCAAGGCAAGAAUAAGGAAACUGGAACAGGAGGGCAUGCUGGGCUCCAGCCUCCCGUGACAGUGAAACAUUGCCUUAGAAUGACUGUUGUUAAUACAAUUGAGGAAAUAUAACACGUAAUCUUGUGAUUAAGUUAUACACAAUUUGAUUUAAAUUUAGUUCCUGGCAGUUGCUAGGUUUCACUCUGGCAUACUCUCUCAGUGUGGAAGCUGCUGAUUCAGAAAGAGAUGUUCCAAAGCUCAUGUAUUUCCUGGACACAUCCAAGUACUGAAUAAAAUGCUGGUUAAAUAAAUGAGUUAAUUUUCCAAGAAAGACACCAAUUACUUUUAGAUUCUUUUGCUUUCUUAAGCAGAUGUGUACACAUUCGGAAACAUAAUUGGAGGGAGGAUAGAAUGGGGGAAAACAUGGAACUGCUGGGAGCUCAGUCAGAGACUGAAGAUGAUGCAGAGACUUAUUGAGAGGACCACAUUGGGUGCCUGGAAACUGGAAGAACAAGACACUUGGACUCCUAUUUUUUCACAAGUUGGUAGGAUGGGGACAGAAGCAUGGGAGGUGAAAAC
rnacentral:lncRNA from 10 species